GAUGAACGCUAGCGGCAGGCCUAACACAUGCAAGUCGAGGGGUAGAACACUUCGGUGUUUGAGACCGGCGCACGGGUGCGUAACGCGUAUGCAAUCUACACUUUACAGGGGAAUCGCCACGAAAAAUUAGGAUUAAUGUCCCAUAGCAUUACGACUUGGCAUCAAGAUGUAAUUAAAGUACCAACGGUACAAGCUUAGGAUGCGUCACAUUAGUUAGUUGGUAAGGUAACGGCUUACCAAGACGAUGAGGGGUAGGGGUCCUGAGAGGGAGAUCCCCCACAGUGGUACUGAGACACGGACCAGACUCCUACGGGAGGCAGCAGUGAGGAGUAUUGGUCAAUGGUCGCAAGACUGGACCAGCCAUGCCGCGUGCAGGAAGACGGUCCUAUGGAUUGUAAACUGCUUUUAUACAGGAAGAAACCCUCCCACGUGUGGGAGCUUGACGGUACUGUAGGAAUAAGGAUCGGCUAACUCCGUGCCAGCCGCCGCAGUAA
rnacentral:rRNA from 1 species